UUUUGACACCAGGAAAUCUUUUUCCAGCACCCAGCCUGUUAUUCCGCCUUUCAUAUUCAUACGGCAGAUGUAAGUCCAAAACAGAAAGGCCUUGCCUAGGAAAGUGAAUGAUAAGCAAAUCUAAUUGAGAAAAAAACCAACCAGAGUCAGUGUCCAGUAAUGGCUCUGCAAUGCGCAGCCUCCGAAUGUGACGACCACAGGCUCUGCUUGCCUUUUACCUGACUGCCAGCACCCUGCAGAGCAGCAUCAAAGUUCUGGAGGCCAGAAAUUUGAAAUGAGUCUUAUGGAGCUGAAAUCAAGCACAAACCAAAGCUGGGCUUCAUCUGGAUGCUCUAUGAAAGAUUCCUUUGCUCGCCUCUUCCAAUUCCUGGUGGUUGCUGGCAUUCCUUGCAUUGUAGACUCGUCAUCCCAACGUCUUCCUCCUUGGCCCCAUUGCCUUCUCCUCUCCUGUGUGGGCAUCAUCAACUCUCCCUUUCCCUCCCUCUUAAAAGGAUAUGAAUGUGACUGCUUUAGGACCUACCUGGAUAAUUCAGAAUAAUCUCCCCAUCUCAAGACCCUUAACAUAAUCACAUAUGCAAAGAACUUCUCUUUUCUUUAAUCAUAUGAGUUAACAUGUACAAAUUUCAGAGAUGAGAACAUGGAUAUCUUUAGGGUGCCAUUUUUUCAGUCCAUUGGAAAUGGUAGAUGUGGAAGAAGAGGAGCUAAAAUUCAAUCAGACUAGGGGUCUGCAAUCUGUAGCCUGCAAGUCAGUGCCUGUUUUUGUAAAUAAAGUUUUA
rnacentral:lncRNA from 1 species